rnacentral:tRNA from 1 species
CGGGGCAUAGCUCAAUUGGCAGAGCGCCUGCUUUGGGAGCAGGAGGUUCCCAGUUCAAGCCUGGGUGCCCCGA